AACUACUGAAUACACACAUAACGGAAGAGCCCUGCCCUGAAGAGUACAAUCAAAGUAUACAGCAAAAGACAACAGUUGGAUGCAACAGAUACACAGGAAGCACAAGGAAACAGUGAGAGGACUAUGAUUCGUGUAAUAAGCAGCAGCCCUUGCACUCAUAUCCUCUGACUUCAUACCCUUCUCCUCUUUACCUAAUUAGUGUAUUGAAUGCCCUCCAGAUUAACACUGGGAACUAUGCAAGUUUUGUGUGCUGUGUAGAACACCCUUUGAACGUGAGACUCGCUCCAAUUUGUCCCUAAAGUCUGACACCCAGAACUGGACACAGUACUCCAGCUGAAGUCUUACCAGUGAUGAGUAGACCAGGACAAUUAUCUCUCAUAUCUUACAUAUGACACUUCUGUCGAUCCAAUAUCAUUCUGGGAUGUGAUUUUUCACAGCUGCAUUUUUACAUUGUUGACUCAUAUUUAAUUUGUUAUUCACUCUCACGGCCAAAUCCUCUUCAGCAGUACUACCACCUAACCAU